rnacentral:rRNA from 1 species
AUUGAACGCUGGCGGCAUGCUUUACACAUGCAAGUCGAACGGCAGCGCGGGCUUCGGCCUGGCGGCGAGUGGCGAACGGGUGAGUAAUACAUCGGAACGUGCCCAGUAGUGGGGGAGAGCUCGGCGAAAGACGGAUUAAUACCGCAUACGACCUGAGGGUGAAAGCGGGGGGUCUUCGGACCUCGCGCUCUUGGAGCGGCCGAGGGCCGAUUAGCUAGUUGGUGGGGUAAAGGCCUACCAAGGCGACGAUCUGUAGCUGGUCUGAGAGGACGACCAGCCACACUGGGACUGAGACACGGCCCAGACUCCUACGGGAGGCAGCAGUGGGGAAUUUUGGACAAUGGGCGAAAGCCUGAUCCAGCAGUGCCGCGUGUGUGAUGAAGGCCUUCGGGUUGUAAAGCACUUUUGGCGGGAACGAAAAGGACUGUGCCAAUACCACGGUUCGAUGACGGUACCCGCAGAAUAAGCACCGGCUAACUACGUG